rnacentral:rRNA from 1 species
CCGAUUCAGCCAUGCUAGUUGUACGGGUUUAGACCCGUAGCAAAUAGCUCCGUAACACGUGGUCAAACUACCCUCUGGACCGGAAUACCCUCGGGAAACUGAGGCUAAUCCCGGAUACUGCUUUCAUGUUGGAACACAGAAAGUCGGAAACGGUCCGCCGCCGGAGGACGUGACUGCGGCCGAUUAGGUAGACGGUGGGGUAACGGCCCACCGUGCCGAUAAUCGGUACGGGUUGUGAGAGCAAGAACCCGGAGACGGUAUCUGAGACAAGAUACCGGGCCCUACGGGGCGCAGCAGGCGCGAAACCUUUACACUGCACGCCAGUGCGAUAAGGGGACCCCGAGUGCGAGGGCAUACAGUCCUCGCUUUUCGUGACCGUAAGAAGGUCUCAGAAUAAGAGCUGGGCAAGACCGGUGCCAGCCGCCGCGGUAAUACCGGCAGCUCGAGUGAUAGCCACUAUUAUUGGGCCUAAAGCGUCCGUAGCCGGCCGAACAGGUCCGUCGGGAAAUCCACCCGCUCAACGGGUGGACGUCCGGCGGAAACCAGUCGGCUUGGGGCCGGGAGACCAGAGAGGUACGUCCGGGGUAGGAGUGAAAUCCUGUAAUCCUGGACGGACCGCCGGUAGCGAAAGCGUCUCUGGAGAACGGACCCGACGGUGAGGGACGAAAGCUUGGGUCUCGAACCGGAUUAGAUACCCGGGUAGUCCAAGCUGUAAAC